rnacentral:rRNA from 1 species
GAUGAACGCUGGCGGCGUGCUUAACACAUGCAAGUCGAACGGAAAGGCUCCUGCUUGCAGGGGUACUCGAGUGGCGAACGGGUGAGUAACACGUGGGUGAUCUGCCCUGCACUUCGGGAUAAGCCUGGGAAACUGGGUCUAAUACCGGAUAGGACGCUGGUUUGGAUGCCAUUGUGGAAAGUUUUUCGGUGUGGGCUGAGCUCGCGGCCUAUCAGCUUGUUGGUGGAGUAAUGGCCUACCAAGGCGUCGACGGGUAGCCGGCCUGAGAGGGUGUACGGCCACAUUGGGACUGAGAUACGGCCCAGACUCCUACGGGGGGCAGCAGUGGGGAAUAUUGCACAAUGGGCGCAAGCCUGAUGCAGCGACGCCGCGUGGGGGAUGACGGCCUUUGGGUUGUAAACUCCUUCAGCUAGGGACGAAGCGGAAGUGACGGUACCUGGAGAAGAAGCACCGGCUAACUACGUG